rnacentral:sRNA from 1 species
UGAAGGAUACGGAAGCAGAAAAACUGUUCCGGAUCCGGGAGGCGGAAGAAAUAAAAAACAACCUGAUGCAGGUAGCCAGUGAGCAUAUUGCGCCGCUUCAGGAUGCUGCAGAUCUGGAAAUUGCAACGGAGGAAGAAAUCUCGUUGCUGGAAGCGGUGAUGCUGCCAACUUACUGAUUUAGUGUA